rnacentral:misc_RNA from 1 species
AAACGACCCUUCAGAAAACCAACAAGGUGUACAAGUUACAACAAGCAAACCACAAGAUGCCGCAAGCAACCGUCCGUGUCUUCUCGGCAUGGCUGCCACGCAGCGCUUUCAUUUCGUGUAGAAAACCUAGCUUCAUUUAUAGCAUUAAGAAGUGCCCAUUAGAGAACAACUUUUGCAGAGAGAAGAGAUAUGGCUACAGAGAUUGAGGACUCAUUGGCAACAACAGCACCUCUUGCACCUGUUACUUAUGAGAGACCUGUUCGAGAUAACUUGGAAGAUACCCUCCCUAAGCCUUACAUGGCAAGAGCAUUGCAAGCUCCUGAUACAGAAAAUCCUCAUGGAACACCAGAACAUAAGCAUCAUGGCUUGAGUGUCCUCCAGCAGCAUGUUGCCUUUUUCGACCAAGAUGGCAAUGGAAUAGUUUACCCAUGGGAGACUUAUACUGGAUGUCGUGCAAUUGGUUUCAAUCCAAUUCUCUCCCUUAUCUUGGCUGUUGCUGUCAAUGGAGCGUUGAGCUAUGCUACUCUGCCUGGAUGGUUUCCUUCCCCACUUUUCCCCAUAUACAUAAAUAACAUACACAGAGCCAAGCACGGCAGUGAUUCAGGAACAUAUGACACCGAAGGAAGGUAGGGAUUCACUAAAGUACAUUUACCCUGGUCAAUAUCCUUAAUAUUUACACCUUGAUCUGUUGCUACUUGCUAUGCUCACCAAACAUCCAUGCAGAUAUAUGCCUGUCCAUUUUGAAAACGUUUUCAGCAAGUAUGCUAAUACAGUGCCUGACAAGUUAUCCUUUAGAGAGAUCUGGAACCUGACAGAGGGACAGCGACUCGCCUUCGACUUCUUUGGAUGGUUUGUUUCAGUAACAAGCUUAAACUUUCUGUUUAAUUUCUUGGUUUCAAACUUUGGUUUUAUGCUUCCUAAAUGGCAUGCAGGUUUGCGUCCAAGUUAGAAUGGGGUAUCCUCUACAUUCUUGCAAGAGAUGAUGAAGGCUAUCUGUCUAAAGAAGCUAUUCGGCGCUGUUUUGAUGGUAGCUUGUUCGAGUAUUGUGCUAAAAUGAACAGGGGAAGUGAGGCUAAGAUGCGUUAAUGGCUCCCAUAGCUAAUGAUACUAGUGUAAUAAGUUGAGAGACCAGCUCAGAUUAGGUAUCUUGCAGGAAGCCUAGAACUAGCAAAGAAAAUCGUUUAUAUAGUUCUGUGUUCUGUUAUGUUUGGCGUGCAUACUAAUAAGUUUGUGAAGUUUAUUUCCCCCUUUCAGCUAUAAUGUUGUGGAUAUGUUGUUUCCCUAAUGCUUACUGAUUUGAAAGGCAAUGAAGAACUGUUUCAAUU